rnacentral:lncRNA from 1 species
GGCAGUUGGCAGCACUGGAAAAUUCUCAACACACACAGAUUGCAGGAUGGACGGCAGAGAUUGGGAUGGAUGAACAAGGAUUAGCCCUCACAAUGGUACAGGAUGGGCCAUAUCUCCAGAAAACAAGCCCUGCUGAAAAAAAACUCUCCAGAUAAUGAUGGAAAGCUGAAACCAGCUGAUCUUAGUUUUUGGAACCAGAAGAAACAAGUUGAGCAUGCUUCAUGGAGCACCGGAUCUAACUCAGAACAUGCCCCAUGCAAAAAGAAACCUCACCAAACAGCUGAAUUUGUUCAAUUCACAUUUAGGAUGAACUUGUUUAGGACCAAAGCUAUAAAAUUUUGUGUAAAAUUUAGUAUUUUGUACAAGUCUCAUCUCUUAAUUAUACCACAAACAGCAUGCUUAUUUUGGCAUUAAUACCAAUGCACAGAGCAUGGGGCUGGAGGAAACUAAGAUGCACAAAUGCACUACUUAGGAGCUUUUCUUGCAGUGAAUUAGAUUUUAUCUUUAUGGACUUUUUUUUUCCUCAGCUGAUUAAGAUGAGUAUCAUCUGUAAAGUUUCAAACUGGAACUCAAAAGAACAAUUUUAUUACUGCUUGUAGCAUGAAGAAGCUGGUGCCACGCUGUUGACUUUAGGAGGAGGAAGAAAUUAACAGAACUAGUGGGAGGUACCAAUGUCUUAAAAUCCUAGUUACUCACCAAACUGGCAAGGAGGCAUGCAUGUGCUAAUCUCCACGCCAGCAAGAAGAAACAGGGCUGCAUAGUAUAUGUGUCUCCUCAAAAUACAAGUGCAAGUUAUCUCCAUAAAAAUCUUCAGUGGCUGCUUUCUGCUGGGAAGCCUCAGCUCUUGCAGGCACUCCUGGCCUCUCCUGACAAUGUUUCAUAAGGUGUGCACGUGUUGGUUAUUUUGAUGUUCCCCUUCCUGCCUCCUCUGUGAGCAUAAAUUCUGGCUGGCAAUAAAACCCCUUAAGUCAGAGGCCA